UGGCCCCGCUCGUCUGUUCCACGCCUACACCCCCUGCCACGUCGACACCGGCCGCCCCGGACGACGCUUGCUCUCUGGGUGGCGACGUGGCGGACCGGGUGACGGACCUACCCUCGGACCUCUCCUCUGUCGUGGGGGACUCCCGUCGGGACCCCUUCCGCUCNUACCCGCANUUCCGACACCUACCGGGUGACCCNCGCCGGGGACUCUUUCGGACCCUUUGCCGCGACUUGACACUGACGCCCGACUUGUCCGCGACUUANCGCUACCGUUGGCGGAGGUACACACGGGCCCAC
rnacentral:rRNA from 1 species